ACUGCUAAUACCGCAUAAGCGCACGGGAACGCAUGUUUCUGUGUGAAAAACUCCGGUGGUGUAAGAUGGGCCCGCGUUGGAUUAGGUAGUUGGUGAGGUAACGGCUCACCAAGCCGACGAUCCAUAGCCGACCUGAGAGGGUGACCGGCCACAUUGGGACUGAGACACGGCCCAAACUCCUACGGGAGGCAGCAGUGGGGAAUAUUGCACAAUGGGCGCAAGCCUGAUGCAGCGGCGCCGCGUGAGCGAAGAAGUAUUUCGGUAUGUAAAGCUCUAUCAGCAGGGAAGAAAAUGACGGUACCUGACUAAGAAGCUCCGGCUAAAUACGUGCCAGCAGCCGCGGUAAUACGUAUGGAGCAAGCGUUAUCCGGAAUUACUGGGUAUAAAGGGAGCGUAGACGGAUGUGCAAGUCUGAUGUGAAAGGCGGGGGCUCAACCCCUGGACUGCAUUGGAAACUGUAGAUCUUGAGUGCCGGAGAGGUAAGCGGAAUUCCUAGUGUAGCGGUGAAAUGCGUAGAUAUUAGGAGGAACACCAGUGGCGAAGGCGGCUUACUGGACGGUAACUGACGUUGAGGCUCGAAAGCGUGGGGAGCAAACAGGAUUAGAUACCCUGGUAGUCCACGCGGUAAACG
rnacentral:rRNA from 1 species